GAGGGGCCUGCGUUCGAUUAGCUCGUUGGUGGGGUAACGGCUCACCAAGGCGACGAUCGAUAGGUGGUCUGAGAGGACGAUCACCCAGACUGGGACUGAGACACGGCCCAGACUCCUACGGGAGGCAGCAGUCGGGAAUUUUGCGCAAUGGACGAAAGUCUGACGCAGCAACGCCGCGUGAGGGAUGAAGGCCUUCGGGUUGUAAACCUCUUUUCUCAGGGAAGAUAAUGACGGUACCUGAGGAAGAAGCCACGGCUAACUACGUGCCAGCAGCCGCGGUAAUACGUAGGUGGCAAGCGUUGUCCGGAUUUACUGGGCGUAAAGAGCGCGCAGGCGGUUGUGCAAGUCGCGUGUGAAAGCCCCCGGCUCAACUGGGGAGGGUCACGCGAUACUGCUCAACUCGAAGGCAGGAGAGGGAAGUGGAAUUCCCGGUGUAGUGGUGAAAUGCGUAGAUAUCGGGAGGAACACCAGUGGCGAAGGCGACUUCCUGGCCUGUUCUUGACGCUGAGGCGCGAAAGCUAGGGUAGCAAACGGGAUUAGAUACCCCGGUAGUCCUAGCCGUAAACGAUGGACACUAGGUGU
rnacentral:rRNA from 1 species